rnacentral:rRNA from 1 species
GAUGAACGCUGGCGGCGUGCCUAAUACAUGCAAGUCGAGCGAACAGAUAAGGAGCUUGCUCCUUUGACGUUAGCGGCGGACGGGUGAGUAACACGUGGGUAACCUACCUAUAGGACUGGGAUAACUUCGGGAAACCGGAGCUAAUACCGGAGAAUAUUUCGAAACGCAGGGUUCGAUAGGGAAAGAGGGCUUUGCUGUCACUUAUAGAUGGACCCGCGCCGUAUUAGCUAGUUGGUAAGGUAACGGCUUACCAAGGCGACGAUCAGUAGCCGACCUGAGAGGGUGAUCGGCCACACUGGAACUGAGACACGGUCCAGACUCCUACGGGAGGCAGCAGUAGGGAAUCUUCCACAAUGGGCGAAAGCCUGACGGAGCAACGCCGCGUGAGUGAUGAAGGUCUUCGGAUCGUAAAACUCUGUUAUUAGGGAAGAACAUACGUGUAAGUAACUGUGCACGUCUUGACGGUACCUAAUCAGAAAGCCACGGCUAACUACGUG